UGUGUUCCAUGGCUAUACAUCUCAUGUUUAUAUGCUUUAAAAAAGACAAAUACGUCUAUCUAUACUGGCAAGAUGCAAAGGCCUGCCAGGGAUUUUUCUAUGAGGCCCUAAACCAUGGUCUCUGCCAACAACUCCUCCAUCUCCCCAUGGCUCUCAAGAAAUAGAACUGCUCCAUCCUGAAGAUCCCUUGGAGCCUGUUGAGUUUUGUGGAAAAGAAAAUCACAUAAAGUUUUCUCCGUGACACACCUAGCAAGGCAUUUUCAAGUCCAA